AGAAUCAACGCUGGCGGCGUGCCUAACACAUGCAAGUCGAACGCGGUUAUUUCAGCUCCGCAAGGCGUUGGGAUAACUGAGUGGCGAACGGGUGAGUAACACGUGGGUGAUCUACCUUCGAGUGGGGGAUAACGUCCCGAAAGGGACGCUAAUACCGCAUGACGUUCUGGGUUUGAAUAUCUGGAAACCAAAGCCGGGGACCGCAAGGCCUGGCGCUUGAAGAGGAGCCCGCGUCCGAUUAGCUAGUUGGCGGGGCAAUGGCCCACCAAGGCGACGAUUGGUAGCCGGCCUGAGAGGGCGACGGCCACGACUGGGACUGGAGACACGGCCCAGACUCCUACGGGAGGCAGCAGUGGGAAUUGUUCACAAUGGGCGCAAGCCUGAUGACGCAACGCGCGUGGGGGAUGAAGGCCUCGGUCGUAAACCCCGUGUCCGAAUGGACGAAUAGCCCGCGAUUAACAAACGCGGAUGACGUACCGUUAAAGGAAGCCACGGCUAACUCUGUCGCCAGCAGCCG
rnacentral:rRNA from 1 species